GAUGAACGCUGGCGGCGUGCCUAAUACAUGCGAGUCGAGCGAACAGACGAGGAGCUUGCUCCUCUGACGUUAGCGGCGGACGGGUGAGUAACACGUGGAUAACCUACCUAUAAGACUGGGAUAACUUCGGGAAACCGGAGCUAAUACCGGAUAAUAUAUUGAACCGCAUGGUUCAAUAGUGAAAGACGGUUUUGCUGUCACUUAUAGAUGGAUCCGCGCCGCAUUAGCUAGUUGGUAAGGUAACGGCUUACCAAGGCGACGAUGCGUAGCCGACCUGAGAGGGUGAUCGGCCACACUGGAACUGAGACACGGUCCAGACUCCUGCGGGAGGCAGCAGUAGGGAAUCUUCCGCAAUGGGCAAAAGCCUGACGGAGCAACGCCGCGUGAGUGAUGAAGGUCUUCGGAUCGUAAAACUCUGUUAUUAGGGAAGAACAAAUGUGUAAGUAACUAUGCACGUCUUGACGGUACCUAAUCAGAAAGCCACGGCUAACUACGUG
rnacentral:rRNA from 1 species